rnacentral:rRNA from 1 species
AAUUUUGGACAAUGGGGGAAACCCUGAUCCAGCCAUCCCGCGUGUAUGAUGAAGGCCCUCGGGUUGUAAAGUACUUUUGGCAGAGAAGAAAAGGUAUCUCCUAAUACGAGAUACUGCUGACGGUAUCUGAAGAAAAAGCACCGCCUAACUACGUGCCAGCAGCCGCGGUAAUCCGUAGGGGGCAAGCGUUAAUCGGAAUUACUGGGCGUAAAGCGAGGGUAGGCGGUUCGGAAAGAAAGUUGUGAAAUCCCAGGGCUCAACCUUGGAACUGCAUUUUUAACUACCGAGCUAGAGUAUGUCAGAGGGGGGUAGAAUUCCACGUGUAGCAGUGAAAUGCGUAGAUAUGUGGAGGAAUACCGAUGGCGAAGGCAGCCUCCUGGGAUAAUACUGACGCUCAGACACGAAAGCGUGGGGAGCAAACA